CCUUGUUCUAUCAGAUUUGCACAAUGCUUGAAUCUACGUGAAGUGGACAUCAUCAAUUAUGACAUUUCUGGAAGCUCAUCAACCCUCUCCAAGAUGGCUCAUAAGCUGCAAGAUGUGGGCGCUACUGGGAUGGACAGAUAUCAGCAAGCAACAGGCCAGUAUUGGGGGGCGGCAGCAGUUUGUCACCAUUGAUGAGAGCCACUUCAGACACAAAGGAAAGGCAAGCAGCAUGCACUAUUAUCAAGCUAAUAAUGCAAAUUACCAUUAAAUGACAGAUUAUUUAUUUUGUUUAAAGAGGAAUAAUUCCUAAUAUUUUAUGUUUUCAACAGUAUGGAUGGG